rnacentral:rRNA from 1 species
GAUGAACGCUAGCGGCGGGCUUAAUACAUGCAAGUCAAGGGGCCAGCAAUGGCACCGGCGGACGGGUGAGUAACGCGUACACAACGUACCUUUAACUGGGGGAUAGCAUCUGGAAACGGGUGGUAAUACCGCAUGUGGUUGCGGGGAGGCAUCUCCUUGUAACUAAAACUUUGGUGGUUAGAGAUCGGUGUGCGUCUGAUUAGCUAGUUGGUAGGGUAGAGGCCUACCAAGGGCGACGAUCAGUAGGGGGCUGAGAGCGUGAACCCCCACACGGGUACUGAGACACGGACCCGACUCCUACGGGAGGCAGCAGUAAGGAAUAUUGGUCAAUGGAGGGAACUCUGAACCAGCCAUGCCGCGUGAAGGAAGAAGGCGCUACGCGUUGUAAACUUCUUUUGGGUGGGACGAAAAUAAUCCAUUUAUGGAUAGCUGACGGUACCAUCAGAAUAAGCACCGGCUAACUCCGUGCCAGCAGCCGCGGUAAU